UAAUAGCGUUUGUAGAAGAAACGUUAUAAAAGCCUUGAACCCAGGAAAGAUAUAAUAACGCUUUUUAAAAAAGCGCUAUUAAAGCCAAAAACACGGAACACUAUAAUAGCACUUCUGAGAAAGCGCUAUUAACGUUAAUACCAUAUAAUAGCGUAUUUGACAUAAGCGCUAUAGUAAAUAAAAUUAAGAAAUAAAAAACUAUAGUGGUUGGGUGUCGAACCUUUGACCCCUUAGUUGUAUUUUUUUUUCUUUAACACAAUCUGUUGGUUGCUGAAUAAUAAAAAAAAUUAAGAGAUAAUUUUUUUAAAAAAAAAACCUUCUCAUUUCUCUCCUCUAAAUUUCUCACAACUGCAUCGCUCGUUUCUAUACUCAACAAUCCUUCCAUCGCUCCUCUUCUCUCUAUUGUUCCAUCUGUCGAGCCUCCAUCUCCAUCCUUAUCAAGGUCUUUGUUUCAACCUCACACCUCGCCGUCGAACCCUAGAUCGUCAGGCUCUCGUUCAACCUCAAUCUCCGUCGAACCCUAGGUCCUUCGUUUAAGCCCAACACCUCCAUCUCCGUCAAACCCAAAAUCUCGUGAUUCUCGGUAUACUUGGAACGGAAAUUCUCAUUUUCUCUACUUUUCCUAAAUCAUGACCACAAAUUUUGUUUCAAUCCUGGACUUGUACAAGGGCAGUCCUGAACUCCAUGGAUUAUUUUGAUAAGCACAUUAAACAGUUGAAAACACUCAUAAGCUUAAUUACAGCAUAGAUAGGGGAACUUCUUUCAAUUUUAAGCUUGGACAUGUACAAGGUGAAUUGCCACCGUUUUGAUUGGUUUUAUUUUUUAAUUUCAUUGAUUCAUAUUAUAUGGGACUGUUAAUUAUUGAUUUGAUUGAUGAUGAUUGUUAAUAUUAACUAGUAUUACUAGUAUUUUUUUAAUUUCAAGCUAUGUUAGUUUUUCUGCCAUUCGAACUCCGUCUUUUGCGUUUUUAUACGGUUUUGUUGUUGUUUAUGUGGUGUGAGCAGAGGUGUUUGAGGAUAUUGUUGGUUUGUGCUUUAAUUGGUUCGGCAUGGCUGUGCAUUUUUUGUUGGGCUUGGCAUAGGGAUUUUGCGUCUUUUUUCCCUUGUUUCCUUUGGAUCGUUGUGCCUGGGUUUGGUUUGAUGUAUUGUGUUUUGUAUUAGUCUUGUGUGGUGUUAGUUUAGUGGCUAAGUCUCAACUUGUUUUCUUGGUAUGUUUUGUUCCUCUCAGCUAUUAAUGCUAAAUGAUCGGUAACAGAAAUAGAAUUGAGGAGUAGUUGGGUAGGAAGGUCCACAUUAAGGAAAUGUGAGAAAUCAAUGACUCCUAAGAUUCUAAAGAACCUUCAGCAUAUCUAGGGAAAAAUAAGUAUUUAUAUUUGACAAAUUUCAAUUGAUUUAGAUCAAAGUUGCUACAUGAUUUAGAUCAAAGUUGCAUGACAAUGGAAUAUUCGCAAAGCUUUGCAGUUUGCUUUGAGUAGGAGUGUUGGUUGGGUGUGUUGGCUUGCGGUAGACAUUGCUUGGCUUUGUAUGUUUGGUGUGCCUGUCAUGGUACUGGUCUGGUGUGUAGUGAGUGCUGCUCCUUGAUUUUCUUUGGUUAGUUGGUUUAUGUGUGUGUGUGUGUGUGUGGUUUUUGUUUUAGUUCAGGGUGCUCCUGGUUAUCUUUUUGUUGCCUCAUAGUGUUCUUACUUGGAUUCUCGAGUACCUUCAUGAUGACCAAAAACUUCUUGAAGCAAUAAAAGUAAGCAUUUUUGUCCCCAUCAUAGAAUUCCUAAUCUGUUAUAAUUAAGUAAUUAACCCUAUGUGUUUAAAAUUAAUAUCUUAAUUAAUAAGUGAAAUAAAACUGAACAUAUUACUGUAGACAGAACAAUGAUGCAGGGAAGAUUCCAUUGACAUGAAGUCUGAUAAAAAAUAUGCCACUUACUCAUAGGGUAUGGUAUAUAAUAUAUACUAUGAAUGGUAAAUGCUAUGCAAAAAAAAAUACUUCAUUUAAUUUGAAAGCAAUUCAAUUCAUGACUACAUUUCUCAGUAGUAUACUUCAUUUAAAGUCUAAGGAUGGCAAGUAUCAGAUCACACCCUGUAUUGAAUUUUUUGAAGGUUUGGAUCUUCGAAAGCUGGAUAAGGUGUGGUUAGAAUGAAAUUUCUAGGUUUGUCAAUUUGUUCUCUUUCAUCUCAAAGUUCAUCUUUGCUUCCUACUUCCUUUUGAUUUUUCUUUUUAGAUUUGUUCGCAUUUUCGUCAUCGAUUCGUCUCUUUCUUAUAAGUUUUUUUGUCUGAGUUAUGUUGGGUUCAAUUUUCUGGUCGAGAAGGAAGAAGUAAUCAAUAUCUGAUAGAGUCACCGGAAGCAAAUAAGUUCCCUUUAUGUUUGACUAAACUAUAUAUGAUACUAACACUACAGAGUUUUUGUUGCUGCCUGAGUAUUUAUAAACUUUACUUGACAUCAUAGUAUUUUGCAGAAGGUUUUGUUGCUGCAACAGUAUUAGUAUUGUGUAUAUGAUAUUGUAAUUUGUAAUAGUUAGUAGUUAGAAACUUUACAUUGACAUCGUAGUAUUUUGCAGAAACUCAACUAUAGUAGUGCCCCUUUAUUUAUGCUUAUUCUUGUAGUAGUAACUAUCCAAAUAUUAUAGCAUUGAACCACUAACUACCAACAUGUUUCCAUAACCUGUCAGAAUCUGAAUUGUCUCUAGAUGACACUAUUCUUGUAUAUGAGUGAGAAUUAAUGCUGUCAAAUGGUGUCCAAAUGGUGUUAUGAGUUAUGCUGUCAAAUUAUAAUUCAUUUGAAGUAUUCUGCUAUCCAAUUCUUUGUUCCAUUGUGCUUCCUUCGUAUAUCGUUUACCACAUUUGAUUUCCAUUUUUACUAAAUAUUUUCAGCUAAUUAACCUGAAUACACACUUAAUGCAACUCCCUUUGCUCUCUAGAAGUGGAGUUUUGGAAUUGUCAAUUGCCAAAGCUUAUGAAUCAGACGAAGAAUGUGUCAGACACCUGAACGACAUUCCUAAUGGAGCCAAAACAUUUGAACUGAUGCAUUUUUCGGUUGUACUAUUAUAAUGCAUUUUUCUUAUAAUUGUCGAUUUGGUUUUUAUCUUUCUAGGUGUGGCCAUCGUAAGAAGCUUACAUUGUUCCUCAACCUGGACUUCUUGGUAAUAUUAGAAUGGUGCUGGCUUGGCGAGAAAUCCUAAAGCGUUCAAGUCGUGUCUUGGUUGCUGCAUUAUUUCUUCUUCUGCAUAGUAUUAUUAAGUGUAGGGAUAGGUGGGUGAUUAUCAUUAGCAGGUAUAGCACCUUUGUAUUAGCCUUUGGUGUUCUUAUUAUUUAUGUAUCAGCAUAACUUUGUUUUGGUGGGUGAGUCUUGUGUAUUGAAUAUCUAUAUGUAUGUCCAGCCCUACAAUCUUUGUAUACAUAUUUUGCUUCAAUUCAAUUUUGUUUUUCCAAAAA